rnacentral:rRNA from 1 species
AGAGUUUGAUCCUGGCUCAGGAUUAACGCUGGCGGCGUGCCUAAUGCAUGCAAGCCGAACGGCCCGAUUUAUCGGGCAGUGGCAAACGGGUGAGUAACACGUAAGAACCUACCCUCAAGUGGGGGAUAACCCCGAGAAAUCGGGGCUAAUACCGCAUACGCUCCCUGAUUCUGUCAGGGAGGAAAGCUGAGGCGCUUGAGGACGGGCUUGCGUCCGAUUAGCUUGUUGGUGAGGUAAUGGCCCACCAAGGCUGAGAUCGGUAGCUGGUCUAAGAGGAUGAUCAGCCACACUGGGACUGAGAUACGGCCCAGACUCCUACGGGAGGCAGCAGCAGGGGAUAUUGCGCAAUGGGUGAAAGCCUGACGCAGCAACGCCGCGUGGGGGAUGAAGGCUCUCGGGUUGUAAACCCCUUUUCUCGGGGAAGAUAAUGNNG